rnacentral:rRNA from 1 species
UACGGGAGGGAAGAGUGCUGCUCGUCACAACUGGGAGUACGAGUUCGCAGGCGGCCUAUGCUUCAGGCCUCGAGUGGUCACGGAGCAGCCGUGAAUGGGGGGUUGUCGGAGAAGGCUAGAGUGCUUCGAAAGGUCGAUGGUAUUGCCGGAUUAGCGUUGGAAUGUGACUGAUGCCGGCAAGAGGACCGGAGGCGAAGGCGAUCGACCGGAAGUUACUG